rnacentral:rRNA from 1 species
UACGGAGGGAGCUAGCGUUAUUCGGAAUUACUGGGCGUAAAGCGCACGUAGGCGGCUUGAUAAGUAAGAGGUGAAAGCCUGGAGCUCAACUCCAGAACUGCCUUUUAGACUGUCUCGCUUGAAUCCAGGAGAGGUGAGUGGAAUUCCGAGUGUAGAGGUGAAAUUCGUAGAUAUUCGGAAGAACACCAGUGGCGAAGGCGGCUCACUGGACGAUUGUUGACGCUGAGGUGCGAAAGCGUGGGGAGCAAACAGG